rnacentral:tRNA from 1 species
GAGAGAUGGCAGAGUGGUCGAUUGCAACGGUCUUGAAAACCGUCGUACCGCAGGGUACCGGGGGUUCGAAUCCCUCUCUCUCC